rnacentral:lncRNA from 1 species
ACUACCACAUGAUCCAUCAAUCCCACUGCUGGGCAUAUAUCUGGACAAAAUUACAGUCCAAAAAGAAACAUACAUCCCUACGUUCAUAGCAGCACUAUUAUCAAUAGCCAAGGAGGCAACCUAAAUGUCUAUCAACAGAGGAAUAAAUUAAGAUGAUGUGAUACAUACACAAUGGAAUACUACUCAGCCAAAAAAAACAAAAUAAUGCCAUUUGCAGCCACAUAGAUACAGCUAAAGAUUCUCAUACUAAGUGAAGUAAGUCAGAAAGAGAAAGACAAAUACAAUACAAUAUCACUUAUAUAUGGAAUCUAAAAUGUGGCACAAAUGAACCCAUCUGCAGAACAGAAUCAGACUCAUAGACAUAGAAAACAGGCUUGUGGUUAUCAAAGGGAAAAGGGGAGGGAGUGGGAUGGACUGGGAGCAUGGGGUUUGUAGAUUCGAACUAUUACAUUUAGAAUGGAUAAGCAAUGAAGUCCUACUUUACAGCACAGGGAACCAUAUCCAGUGUCUUGGAUAGAACAUGAUGGAAGACAAUAUGAGAAAAAAAUAUAUAUGUAUGUAUGACUGGGUCACAUUGCUGUAUAGCAGAAAUUGAAACAACAUUGUAAAUCAACUAUAUACUUUAAUAUAAAUAUAAAUUAAUGAAUAAAAUACUUCAUAAUUUGUACUUUAAUAAAAAUACAAAUCAAUGAAUAAAAAUAAAGUAAAAUGUAGCAGUCAGCUGCGAAUGUGUCUGUUUUUUUUGUUUUUUGGUUUUUUUCUCAAUGAAUUUAUCCAUUUAUAGUUGUACAGUGAUCAUCACAGUCCAAUUUUAUAGGAUUUCCAUCCCACAACCCCAGCACAUUCCCCCACCCCUGAAACUGUCUCCUUUGGAAACUAUAAGUUUUUCAAAGUCAGUGAGUCAGUAUCUGUUCUGCAAAGUUCAUUCUGUCCUUUUCUCAGAUUCUACAUGUCAGUGAAAGCAUUUGAUGUUGGUGUCUCACUGUAUGGCUGACUUCACUUAGCAUGAUAAUUUCUAGGUCCAUCCAUGUUGCUAAAAAUAAUGUGCAUGUUUGACCUCUGGCCUGUUACAGUAGGUUAAGGAUCCAACAUUGCCUAGGUUGCAGUCUGUGGCUUGGAUUCAAUUCUUGGCCCAGGAAUUUCUGUGUGCCAUUGGUGCAGCCAUAAAAUGAAAAUAAAAUUAAUAAAUAACUGAAAGGUAGGAGUCAUCCUCAAACUUAAUGUCAGACAUCAUUGGUCCCAGAAAAUUAUCUGUCAUUAUCUGCUGAUUAUAAAUCUCCUUGGGCUCAGACUUUAUAUCAUAUUUCUAGGGUUUUUCUUUAUCUUUGGAUUCUUUGGUCAUAACCCUUGCUGUCUUUAUCCCUAGGAUGCUCAUUUUCCAUCUCCAAAGCAAAGCUUUCCUUGGGAUAUUCUGAACUCUGCUAUCUUUAUUUUGUAGGCUAUACCCUGAAGGUCUCACCAUUUAUAUUCAAAGAGACUAUCUAGGUAUUUUCCACAUGAAUUAUGAAUUCCAAAUGAAUUAUAAGUUCCAAAUGAAUUUCUAAGUGAAAAGAAUUAUUACCCUUUCUUAGUAUUCUGAAUAUGCUUCAGUAGGUUUUAGCAUAAAAUACUAAUUUUUUUCUUCAUACCACUCGUGGAAAAUAUUAAAUCACCCUAUGCACCUAGUAGAUUAAAUAUUGAGGAAGUCUUUUUAACCCAAGUAUAUAUCAAAUGCUGCAGCCAUAAUUUUAUAUUUAUUGCUACAUAUAUAUAAGAAAAUGCAUAACUAUAUCAGCUAUGCAUAUAACAACAUUUUGUGGACCUCAUAUUCCACCAAGAGCUAGCAAAAAGGGAAAUAUUUGUGGUAGAGGUUUUGCCCUUUAGGAUCUACUAAAAAGGCAGCCAGGUGAUGAGCAGGAAGAGAAACCUGGCAUAUAAUGAUGUGGGAAGGAAAGUGAUGCAAUGCCCCAAUAAGAACUUUUUUUCAGAAAAGUAGGAAAGUUCUGGUAACAAUAGAGGGAGAAGCAAUAAGAGUUUUUUGACAGAAGAGAAAGACAGUGGCAGGUGUGAGCAAUGACAACAUUUGUGUGGGGGUGGAGAGCAGCAGGUGUGUAGACAAAAAGAAAAACAGUGACAAGGAAGCAAAAGUCAGGGCAGCUCUCUAAGUUUCUGGGCAGGAGCAAGCCUGGGUGGAGGUAGGGAAGGCAGGAGGCCCAGAGAAGGAAGAGCAGCAAGGUCAGGUUGUCUCAAUGCUCCCUUUGUAGGGCAAGGUAUUGUCUUGUUCCAUUUAUGCAUCUAUUAAUUGAAAGAGGGUUGGAUUGAGUGGCAUAUUCCAGAUGCAGGGCCAUUCUGUGGCAUAGCUCUCUCAAUGAAGGGCUUCCAAAACAGUUUUAGCACUAUAGAGAUCAAGCACUUUAAAGGUUCAUUUGAGAUGUGUGAGUGUGUGUCUAUGUGUGUGUUUUUUUGGAAGUGGGGGCCAGUCAUUGUCAUAUGCUCUAGAAUUAUUAGCCUAGGAGAACUCAGGACAUCAGACUGUGGUGGCAGCCUCAGGCCUGCAUCCUGUAGAAUACAAGGGUAGAAUCCACACAUUUGCAGCAAGCCCAAACGUCUCUUUUGUUUUUAAUUUUCUCUUCUUUGUAAAAGCAAAGAAAAAAAAAUUACUGUGCUCUCCUACUGU